UGGACACUCCGUCAUAAAAAUGAUUCCAAUCAGACUGGACAACAUGGGGAUGCUGCCUUAAUCUCUUUAACCAUGAUUUACAGGUGAUCGCCAAGAAUAAAUUUGAAAUAUGGAUUAUAAUCGAUGGAACAUGUGUUUGAAACUUAAGUUGCAGAGGGAUAUUUUAAAAAAAGCUGACUUUCCUUCAAACGGUUAGAAAUGGAAGAUUUCUUUCACCGAAGAAACAAGUCAAAUGACUCAAAUGUCAAUUGUAGGACCAUCCCCAGCAGCGUCAACCUGUAGAAGGAAAGGCCAGUUUGCAUGUCCUUCACACUCGAAGGUCAAGGAGAUCAUUACGUAAAACGUGUUAUGCAGUG
rnacentral:lncRNA from 1 species